AUGCUUGUUUCAGCCACACAUAUACAGCUAAAACUGAAAGAUGCAGAAAAGAUUAACGUGCCCCUGGCACAAGAAUAACAGGAAAAUUUAUGAAGUGUUCUGUAUUUUG
rnacentral:snRNA from 1 species